rnacentral:rRNA from 1 species
GGGCGAAAGCCUGAAGCAGCAACGCCGCGUGUGUGAUGAAGGCCUUCGGGUCGUAAAGCACUUUUCUGGGAGAUGAGAAAGGACAGUAUCCCAGGAAUAAGUCUCGGCUAACUACGUGCCAGCAGCCGCGGUAAAACGUAGGAGGCAAGCGUUAUCCGGAUUCACUGGGCGUAAAGCGCGUGCAGGCGGUGUGGUAAGUUGGGCGUGAAAGCUCCCGGCUCAACUGGGAGAGGUCGUCCAAUACUACCGUACUUGAGAGCAGAAGAGGAAGAUGGAAUUCCCGGUGUAGUGGUGAAAUGCGUAGAUAUCGGGAGGAACACCAGUGGCGAAGGCGGUCUUCUGGUCUGUUUCUGACGCUCAGACGCGACAGCUAGGGUAGUAAACGGGAUUAGAGACCCCGGUAAUCCUAGCCGUAAACGAUGUGAACUUGGCGUUGGUGGGUUAAACUCCAUCAGUGCCGUAGCAAACGCGAUAAGUUCACCGCCUGGGGACUACGGCCGCAAGGUUA